GGCCCCGUAGCUCAGACGGAAGAGCGCCCGUGUGGCUAACAGGGAGGUCGCCGGUUCGAGUCCGGUCGGGGCUU
rnacentral:tRNA from 1 species